GCUGGAUGCAGUAGCAUGUGCCUGCAGUCCCAGCUACUCGGGAGGCUGAGGCUGGAGGAUCACUUGAGUCCAGGAGUUCUGGGCUGCAGUGCACUAUGCCGAUCGGGUGUCCGCACUAAGUUCGGCAUCAAUAUGGUGACCUCCCGGGAGUGGGGGACCAUCAGGUUGCCUAAGGAGGGCUCAACUGGCCCAGGUUGGAAACAGAGCAGGUCAAAACUCCUGUGCUGAUUAGUAGCGGGAUCGCGCCUGUGAACAGCCACUGCACUCCAGCCUGGGCAACAUAGUGAGACUCUGUCUCU
rnacentral:SRP_RNA from 1 species